rnacentral:lncRNA from 1 species
UAUUUAUAAAAAUAAAUUAUAUAAAUUCUAAUUCUAUAUUAAUAUAUGUAUAAUUAGAAUUAGAUAAUUCAUUUUUAAUAUAUAUAAUUAGAAAUAUAUAUAGAAUUAGAAUUUAUAUUCGAAAUUAGAAAAAAAAAAUAGAAAUAAUACAAAAGAUUCUUUCAGGAAAUGAUUGAUCCACCGAAAAGCCAGAAAAUAGGGUUAGGGUUAAACUUCAUUUCUUUCGCUUUCGUGUUCAUUAAUUCACUCAUUGUUAAGAUAAAUAGGCAUAUCUUUCUCUCACACUAAACCAGUAAUUUAACAAAUAACAAAUGAUAAAUCUGGAAAUCCGAGAAGAGGGAUAGGCCUCAACAAGUUAUCCAACAAGUUAUCCCAUUUUUUUUUAAGAAUUCCAUUUGGUUCAGGGACAAAUAGAGUCUUUGUUGAAUUGCUAAAUACAUGUAUCAAUCAAACGAAUUCAAUAUCAAUAAACCGCUUUUUACCUAUAUUCACUAGUUUAACUUAUACUCACUGGGUAAAUCAAAUCUCUUGCUUAGGAAUGAACUACUAUGAGUCUACUCCCUGUACUUAGUAUAAUUAGUAUAAUAUACUUAUUUAUAAUAUAUUUAUUUAUAAUAUAUUGAAUACUUAUUUAUAAUAUAUUUAUUUAUAAUAUAUUGAAUACUUAUUUAUAAUAUAUUUAUUUUAAAUAUAUUUAUUUUAUUAGUUUAUAAUAUAUUUAUGUUUAUAAUAUAUUUAUAAAAAUUUAUAUUCUAAUCUAAUUUAGAACAUUAUUCAUUCUAUUAGAAUAUAGAAUAUUAG